UUUUUAUUUGAGAGAGAGAGAGAGAGAUAAAUAAUAUGCUAUUCAUUUUUUUUAUUAAAAAUAAAUUUAGUUAAAAUAUUAAUUAAUUAUAAUUCGAACUUGAUAUCUCAAAUACCAACCAUCAAGUUUUUUACCACUUGCGUUAGAAACGUUCGAUAUUUUUUUUUAGAUUUCGGAUGUCGUUAUUCGUAAUUUCAAGAAAAUUUCAAGUGUUAGAAUUUAUUCCAGUAUUGAAAUUGUAAGAUCAUCUAAAUUUUUCCUGCAUGAUGAUCGAUUUUUCAAUUCAGAGAGAAUGUAUUGAAUGUGAUCAUG
rnacentral:lncRNA from 1 species